UAUUUCCCUUCUCAGAUCUUUGAUGGGGUUGAAGACUAUAUAAAUGUAGUUACUUUUUUCUCACGACUUGGCCAAGUUAUUUAUUAUACAAGACCUAAGCUAGUUAGAAUAGGAUAUUUGUACUUAUUGUAUAUAAUUUCAUAGUAGGUUUAGAACUCUCUUACUUAAACAAAAGGGGGAGGUGUUGCGGGAGGUCCUUCCACCCCUCCAACCAAUAGCUGCUGUGAUACCAGCCCAUUGGGGCGUGGUCUCUCUCCCUUUAAAAAAGCGGCUAUUUCCUCUGCUCGCUCUCUUCACUUCCUGCUCCGCCGGAGACUAGACUCCCUUCCUGGUUGUGCAGAUGGCUGUUGUUUGGGACGGUGAUCUGCACAUUCCAAAAGGAUUCCUGGUCGACCUGAAGUGAGAUCUCCUUCAAGACUGAGAAAACCAAAUGACAAACCAGGCAUCCAAAUAGGCUGGCCUCUGUAAAGACAGCCUGGUACUCCCAUUCCAUCACCCCUGGAGGCUGGAUAGAAGUUUUUCCCACUUACCCAGAGAAUUAACUUGAAACGCACUUGCAUGAUACCACCCUAGUCAUCAGGUCAGCUACUACAGAGGAAUAGACCAGACACAGAUCAUCCCUCGGACCUCAUUGUGAUGUGAU